rnacentral:sRNA from 1 species
AAUGGUAUCCAAAGCGGUUGCCAUACACGACGACAAAAAGUGCAAAGUCGAUUUUGUAGUGCGAAGAAUAAAAAAAAAAGAAAAAGAGAAAUGAAAUGAAAAUAGUGCGAGGGAGUCCACGACUCCUUUCCUUUCCAAUUGGUGGCAAGUAGGCUUGGUUGUAAUGGUUUGUAGUGCAAUAGUUUAAGUGUAACAUGCUAACAAAUCUGGUAACGGUGUUGGUUGAUUUUCUCACGUACGCAUACGCACAUACGCACACAUAUAACCGUGUGCAGCUGUGUGGGUCAGUUUGUUUUUUUUUUUUACUGUAAAAUCAUCUGUGACGCACACAGAGGCAAAUACAAUGAGAACGACGGAAAUAAAUAAUGGAAAUUGUGGCCAUGUAUGUGUGGUGGCACGAUUCGCAAUGUUUAUUACUUAAUUAGCGCAAACACACAUCAUGUUUGCGCAUCCGGCAACGCCGUGUCCCAUAAUUUAUUUACAGUUGGACCUCCUUCCAAUUGGAGAACCCAUAACAUCUGUGUGCGUAUGUGUUUUCUCUAUUCUUUGUUUACCUGUUUCUUUUCCAUCGGAAAUGGCAUUUUGAAAUAUUGCUUUAGCAAUCCAAUUGGGAAGGUACUCGUUAAAAACUGGUAUUUAUUCCGUUACUUUUUAGUUCUUCGCGAUUUACCAGCAUUUUGUUCAAGUUCUUCUUUAUUCUUUGGGGGGGCUUGCAUCCUGGGCGGCUUUUAUUAUGUCAUACAACAACAAAUACAAACGCACGCUCACAAGCAUAUUCGCUGUAAACAAGGGAAAAUUCCACUCGCCAUUGCAGUUUCGCGUUGUUUUUGUGCGGCAAGUGAGAUAGGAGAAAGAGGGAUGGAUAUAUGUACUGCAUAUACAUACAUAUGUGCUCAUGUAUGUAGAAGAGCGAUAUUGGGUCAUCGGCACUAUUCUAGCAGCUUCUUUGGUGCCUCCUUCCACUGUUUCUACCCCUCAUUCGCGUUUAUCUUAUCUUGGGGAACCUCACAAGAUCCUAUCCCUUAUCUCGCCAUUGUUCUGGUUAUAGCAUAUGUAUAAUAAUUUCCAGUGCCCGUGUUUGCUUUAUGACAUCUUGCUUUUGUCUAAAAAUCCUGCUUGCUAUUUGCUUAGUACACUUCGUCUUUUACGAUUGUUUUUCCACUGUCGAAAGAUUGUACCUGAUCCACCAAUAUUUGUCCAAGCAGAACGACAAGUUUUGAUGUUGAUUACACAAGCGCACCAAUUACGUUAUCUUAUCGCCCACUUUUUAUUUAUCUAGAUCUAACCUGGAUAGUGAUCUAGAUCUGCUGUGCUUUUUUCUACUUAAACUGAGCUGCAUUGCAGUUUCAGGAGGCAGUUGAAAAGCUUUACACAUGGUUUUCCUCUCAAAAACAUCGUUUACCCAUUAAUUAGGGUGGUUCUUUGCUUAUCGCGUUCGUCACGCCGAAGACACGUGGUCAAUGAUGAAAGACUAGCCAAAGUACAAAGCGAUUACCGUAAGUUGCUACACCAAAAUAUGGCAACGGUACCGUACACGUUUUUCUGGCAAAAAUGUGUUCACACAGCUAAGGGCACAAAAAUAAAACCUGUGUGUAUUAAGAUACUAUUUAUCUUCAUAUUAACCUGAGAUUCUUUUUGUUUCUAAAUCUGUAUACAUUUUCUAUGGAAACCACCUGUGAAAUAACUGAGGUUUCAAAGAUCUUGUUUAUACAAUUUUUUUACCUUGUUAAUUGAGCUAAAGAUAUUUGUUAUUUGUUUAGACUGGAAAAUAUGGAUAGAUUGUCAAUCAAAGUUGCGAAAGGCAAAGAAACCUACGUCAGCAAUAAAAAGUCCAGUUUAUUGUCGAUAAA